rnacentral:rRNA from 1 species
GACGAACCGUGCGAACGUUGUUCGGAAUCACUGGGCUUAAAGGGCGCGUAGGCGGGCUCACAAGUCAGGGGUGAAAUCCCACGGCUCAACCGUGGAAGUGCCUUUGAUACUGUGGGUCUUGAGGGAGGUAGGGGCGUGCGGAACUUCCGGUGGAGCGGUGAAAUGCGUAGAUAUCGGAAGGAACACCGGUGGCGAAAGCGGCGCGCUGGACCUCUACUGACGCUGAGGCGCGAAAAGCCCAGGGG